ensembl:lncRNA
CUGUAAUCUGAUUUUAUGAUAUAAUUUCAGCUUCUUUUGGAAUGAACUUUGGAUUUGAAGUAUAUUCUUAGAGCAGCUCUUUUAUAUGAAAACUUGUUCACAAAGAAGAAAAAUGAACUAAAGAACAUAACAUUGGCUGAGUUCUCCUGGAUUGUGGCAUGAAACUCAAGUGUUUUUGUUAUUUGUGAAAUAAUUCUUCCAGUGCACUGAAGUAUGUAAAAGGAAGGAUUGGUGUAUUCCUGGGGAAUUCCAGCUGGUUGGAAGUGGAAUUGUUUAGCUCUUUUGUUUUAAUGAUUGUGAGCAAGUGAAUCUAGGUAUAAGCUGAUGUGCAGCAUGAAUUGGUUGUCACUACGUUCCACUGUUGUGUCCUGCUGGUGUUCACUUUUACAAGUGGCAGAAAUGUUGAUAGUUUAUCCUGGAAAGAAAAUGACAUUGAACAAUAUUUUGAAAAGAAAAGGAAGAUGGGUUUGCAGGAGGUACAGUGAUCAUCCACUUUUUCUUCUGACUGUGAUCUCUAAAAGGACAUUUGCUGGUGCUCUACCCAUGGGUGGAUUCUCUCCUCUAGAUGCCCAACAGAAUCUUUGCUUUUGGCUUUGUACUUGCUCCCCAGAGAAAUAAAGGAUUACAUGCAGCUGCUAUGUUUUUGUCUCCUUGGAAGGUUUUGCUGUCUGUUUAGAACUGUGUGACUUGAAAUUUUUGUGUUGUUUUCCCCAGAAAUUGCAUAAGGAUGAAACUGGAUUUCUGAAUUAUUUCUGAGAGCUAGAUGCUUCCUAAUUAAGUGCUUUAAACUCAGGCUUUCCAGGUAUCUUGCUGCAUCUAGUCUGGAGUCUUAAGCAGUCACAAGGUGAUUUCAAGUUGCUGGGCAACCAGGAAAUGCAGUAAAUUUGGAAAAUAGCAGUAUUUCCCCCCAUAACAAUUCCCUUGUCUAUAUAAAUUCUGACAUACGGAUUACUCCUGUUUUCUGUGCAUCAUCAGUAAGUUUGAAAUGUCAGGGCUUUUUUUAAAACUGAUUUGAUUUCCCUUCAGAUGAAAAGACAACAUAUGUACCAUUUUAAUUGUUGUCAUAUUUAGAUUACAGAACAGAAUUGUUUAGAAAAUAAUUUGGAUAAAUAAUUAACCCAUGAUCUUAGUUUAUUUCAGGUACCUUACUUUCCUUAUUUAACAAUUUUCAAGGAAUAUUGAUGGAUACAAAUGCUAAGCUGUAACUAGAAUUUUGUUUUCUCUAUUUAUAAGGUGAAUUUUUCAUGUUACCUUAACUCUGUGGUUAAGUGUAAGAGAAAAUGAAGCCCUGAAGUGUUGCUUACAAUUGAGUAUUGACACUUGGUAAUAGUAAUGAAUUUAUUCCAUACAGAUAAUUCCUUCAUUUAGAAGUUUAUCUGUGCAUUUUAAGCAAGAACACCUAGUACCAAUAUUUUCCUGUUACUUACACAAUAUUUUGAGUUGUAAGGGACCCACGAGGAUCAUAUAAGCUCAUCUCCUGACCCUCUAAGGACCACUGUUGCAGUGUGUUUCUUGUUAAUGGUAUGUUCUGUUAUUACCUAAGUUGAUGGUUUAGUCCAAAUGAGACCCUCCCACCCCACGCUGUCAAUCUGCCCUGAGUCUCCUGUCAAUCUGUCUUAGGCCCACCGCAUGCUCGGAAUUCCACUUCAGAAAUCCCCUAAACUUCGACGCUUGAUUAGUCCAUGUGACCCAACUUUCCCCCCUACCUCCCUCAUUGGAUGAUGAUUUUGUGAACCCUGCCUUUUACCCUCCCCAGGAUAUCUCUGAUUAGCUGAUGCUUUGUACCCUCCCUUUGAACUGCCUCCCUAUUUCAGCUGUUGCACUCUCGCAUUUUCUGUCUUUUGCCCCCAAGAUUCCCCAGAGCAAUAAAUCCUCUGUUAUCC